GUUGAACGCUGGCGGCAGGCCUAACACAUGCAAGUCGAGCGAGCGGCGGACGGGGGAGUAAUGUCUGGGAAAAUGCCUGAUGGAGGGGGAUAACUACUGGAAACGAUAGCUAAUACCGCAUACCAUCAGAUGUGCCCAGAUGGGAUUAGCUAGUGGGUGGGGUAACGGCUCACCUAGGCGACGGUCCCUAGCUGGUCUGAGAGGAUGACCAGCCACACUGGAACUGAGACACGGUCCAGACUCCUGCGGGAGGCAGCAGUGGGGAAUAUUGCACAUGGGGGGCAAGCCUGAUGCAGCCAUGCCGCGUGUGUGAAGAAGGCCUUCGGGUUGUAAAGCACUUUCAGCGGGGAGGCGUUACCCGCAGAAGAAGCACCGGCUAACUCCGUGCCAGCAGCCGCGGUAAUUC
rnacentral:rRNA from 1 species